GGGUUGUGAGGUUAAGCGACUAAGCGUACACGGUGGAUGCCCUGGCAGUCAGAGGCGAUGAAGGACGUGCUAAUCUGCGAAAAGCGUCGGUAAGGUGAUAUGAACCGUUAUAACCGGCGAUGUCCGAAUGGGGAAACCCAGUGCAAUUCGUUGCACUAUCGUUAACUGAAUACAUAGGUUAACGAGGCGAACCGGGGGAACUGAAACAUCUAAGUACCCCGAGGAAAAGAAAUCAACCGAGAUUCCCCCAGUAGCGGCGAGCGAACGGGGAGCAGCCCAGAGUCUGAAUCAGCUUGUGUGUUAGUGGAACGGUCUGGAAAGUCCGACGGUACAGGGUGAUAGUCCCGUACACCAAAAUGCACAGGCUGUGAACUCGAAGAGUAGGGCGGGACACGUGGUAUCCUGUCUGAAUAUGGGGGGACCAUCCUCCAAGGCUAAAUACUCCUGACUGACCGAUAGUGAACCAGUACCGUGAGGGAAAGGCGAAAAGAACCCCGGCGAGGGGAGUGAAAAAGAACCUGAAACCGUGUACGUACAAGCAGUGGGAGCACCUUCGGGUGUGACUGCGUACCUUUUGUAUAAUGGGUCAGCGACUUAUAUUCUGUAGCAAGGUUAACCGUAUAGGGGAGCCGCAGGGAAACCGAGUCUUAACUGGGCGUUAAGUUGCAGGGUAUAGACCCGAAACCCGGUGAUCUAGCCAUGGGCAGGUUGAAGGUUGGGUAACACUAACUGGAGGACCGAACCGACUAAUGUUGAAAAAUUAGCGGAUGACUUGUGGCUGGGGGUGAAAGGCCAAUCAAACCGGGAGAUAGCUGGUUCUCCCCGAAAGCUAUUUAGGUAGCGCCUCGUGAACUCAUCUUCGGGGGUAGAGCACUGUUUCGGCUAGGGGGUCAUCCCGACUUACCAACCCGAUGCAAACUACGAAUACCGAAGAAUGUUAUCACGGGAGACACACGGCGGGUGCUAACGUCCGUCGUGAAGAGGGAAACAACCCAGACCGCCAGCUAAGGUCCCAAAGUCAUGGUUAAGUGGGAAACGAUGUGGGAAGGCACAGACAGCCAGGAUGUUGGCUUAGAAGCAGCCAUCAUUUAAAGAAAGCGUAAUAGCUCACUGGUCGAGUCGGCCUGCGCGGAAGAUGUAACGGGGCUAAACCAUGCACCGAAGCUGCGGCAGCGACACUAUGUGUUGUUGGGUAGGGGAGCGUUCUGUAAGCCUGCGAAGGUGACCUGUGAGGGUUGCUGGAGGUAUCAGAAGUGCGAAUGCUGACAUAAGUAACGAUAAAGCGGGUGAAAAGCCCGCUCGCCGGAAGACCAAGGGUUCCUGUCCAACGUUAAUCGGGGCAGGGUGAGUCGACCCCUAAGGCGAGGCCGAAAGGCGUAGUCGAUGGGAAACAGGUUAAUAUUCCUGUACUUGGUGUUACUGCGAAGGGGGGACGGAGAAGGCUAUGUUAGCCGGGCGACGGUUGUCCCGGUUUAAGCAUGUAGGCUGGUUGUCCAGGCAAAUCCGGAUAAUCAAGGCUGAGGUGUGAUGACGAGGCACUACGGUGCUGAAGUAACAAAUGCCCUGCUUCCAGGAAAAGCCUCUAAGCAUCAGGUAACAUCAAAUCGUACCCCAAACCGACACAGGUGGUCAGGUAGAGAAUACCAAGGCGCUUGAGAGAACUCGGGUGAAGGAACUAGGCAAAAUGGUGCCGUAACUUCGGGAGAAGGCACGCUGGUGUGUAGGUGAAGUCCCUGCGGAUGGAGCUGAGACCAGUCGAAGAUACCAGCUGGCUGCAACUGUUUAUUAAAAACACAGCACUGUGCAAACACGAAAGUGGACGUAUACGGUGUGACGCCUGCCCGGUGCCGGAAGGUUAAUUGAUGGGGUUAUCCGUAAGGAGAAGCUCUUGAUCGAAGCCCCGGUAAACGGCGGCCGUAACUAUAACGGUCCUAAGGUAGCGAAAUUCCUUGUCGGGUAAGUUCCGACCUGCACGAAUGGCGUAAUGAUGGCCAGGCUGUCUCCACCCGAGACUCAGUGAAAUUGAACUCGCUGUGAAGAUGCAGUGUACCCGCGGCAAGACGGAAAGACCCCGUGAACCUUUACUAUAGCUUGACACUGAACAUUGAGCCUUGAUGUGUAGGAUAGGUGGGAGGCUUUGAAGCGUGGACGCCAGUCUGCGUGGAGCCAACCUUGAAAUACCACCCUUUAAUGUUUGAUGUUCUAACGUUGGCCCCUGACCGGGGUUGCGGACAGUGUCUGGUGGGUAGUUUGACUGGGGCGGUCUCCUCCCAAAGCGUAACGGAGGAGCACGAAGGUUAGCUAAUCCUGGUCGGACAUCAGGAGGUUAGUGCAAUGGCAUAAGCUAGCUUGACUGCGAGCGUGACGGCGCGAGCAGGUGCGAAAGCAGGUCAUAGUGAUCCGGUGGUUCUGAAUGGAAGGGCCAUCGCUCAACGGAUAAAAGGUACUCCGGGGAUAACAGGCUGAUACCGCCCAAGAGUUCAUAUCGACGGCGGUGUUUGGCACCUCGAUGUCGGCUCAUCACAUCCUGGGGCUGAAGUAGGUCCCAAGGGUAUGGCUGUUCGCCAUUUAAAGUGGUACGCGAGCUGGGUUUAGAACGUCGUGAGACAGUUCGGUCCCUAUCUGCCGUGGGCGCUGGAGAAUUGAGGGGGCUGCUCCUAGUACGAGAGGACCGGAGUGGACGCAUCACUGGUGUUCGGGUUGUCAUGCCAAUGGCACUGCCCGGUAGCUAAAUGCGGAAGAGAUAAGUGCUGAAAGCAUCUAAGCACGAAACUUGCCCCGAGAUGAGUUCUCCCUGAGACUUUAAGUCUCCUGAAGGAACGUUGAAGACGACGACGUUGAUAGGCCGGGUGUGUAAGCGCAGCGAUGCGUUGAGCUAACCGGUACUAAUGAACCGUGAGGCUUAACCUUACAACGCCGAAG
rnacentral:rRNA from 1 species